AGACAAGUCAGAACAAGGUCCAAGCACGGAAAUCAGUUGGAAAUCGCCUACUCAAAGUCACAUCAGAACAGAGCAGAGAAGGACUUUAAAUCAUUUCUUUGGCCCUCUUAUUACCAUUUCACAGCAGAGAAACCAAGGCUGAUUGAGGUGACCAGUAUCUCUUUGGCUUCUUCGCCCCUGGCAGUGACCUACUGAGCCCACAGAUGGGCUAAGAGCAUGUGGGCAGCAAGAAAAACAGGAACCAACCGGUCAAGAACACCUGCAACAAGACAUCUGCUGUGGAAUGCAACAGUAGCAGCAAGAAGGAGGAGAAGGAGGAGGAGGAGGAGAAGGAAGAGGAGGAGGAGGAGGAGGAGGAAGAGGAGGACGACGACGACUGUUAGUGGACUCUCCAAAACCAUCGAUCUGAGGAGCACAGACAAUCUGUGUCUCCAUGUAGCUCCUUCUCACCAGAACCACCUUGCUCCGCCUGUUUGAGUAGCGGCUGUUUUGUACGGGGAAGAAUCGCAGCAGGGGUACGUGUUGACUUGGGUUCUGUUAUGUGCAGUGUUCCUAGGUGUGCAUCACGGGCGUGUCUGUUAGAGCUCACCCUGUUGUAGUCUGCACUCCUUAGGCCUAACGCCGACACAGAGCUGUGCUACGUUACAACUACUGCGUAUGAAGAUCAGCCUCGCCCGUCUGAGAUGGAUCCCAUCAGGCAUUUCAAGAAAUCAAGGCCGUGAUACAGAAAGACUUGUUCCCACUGGCAACUAUUCACGUACUUCCACUUGCCGAGUUAGCAGGCCUUGCGCCUCUCGCUGCCGCCAGGGGUACCCUCCGUCGGCUGUUUCCUUUACAUUUGUCCUGACAUAAGGAUGCACAGGGCGUUAGGCAGCAUUUCUUUUACCAUUUCACUUCAGACGGUCCUUCCUUCUGCACUAACUGGAAGCUACGGGGAAACCGUGGCCUCACAGUCUAACAGCAGGACUGUACUCUGUGCAUGAAAAGUAACAGAAGUGACCGAGCACAGGACAAUGCGAUCACGGCGAGCCCAGGCUGACUGGGUGUGGGAGGAACUGGAAGUGCAGCACUGGAAAGGCAGGCUGCCUCAUCUGAACCCACCAUGGGCUGGAGAGAGGGGUCAGAGGUUGGAGUGUGUAGUGCUGUCAGGGAACCAAAGUUUGGGUCCCACCACCCAUGUCAGGUGGCUCCCAACUGCCUGUGACUCCUGCUCCAGGAGAUCCAGUGCCUCUGGCCAUCUUGGGCAACGAUUCUCACAUGAUUCUCACAUGCACAUACCCACACACAAAUGUACAUAUACACACAAUUAAGAAUAAAAUCAUAAAUCUUAAAAAAUAAAA
rnacentral:lncRNA from 1 species